CCCUUAGAUGUCCUGGGCCGCACGCGCGCUACACUGAUACGACCAACGAGUCUACAACCUUGACCGAGAGGUCCGGGUAAUCUUCUCAAAUCGUAUCGUGAUAGGGAUUGACAAUUGCAAUUAUUUGUCAUGAACGAGGAAUUCCUAGUAAACGCAAGUCAUCAGCUUGCAUUGAUUACGUCCCUGCCCUUUGUACACACCGCCCGUCGCACCUACCGAUUGAAUGGUUCGGUGAGCCCUUCGGAUUGAGGCAAUGUCUCUUUCAUUAGAGACGCUGCCUUGAGAAGUUGUGCAAACCUCAUCAUUUAGAGGAAGGUGAAGUCGUAACA
rnacentral:rRNA from 1 species